AGUCGUAGUAGUAGCAGUGUUUGUAGUACCAGGUCAGUACCUGGAUGGGAAACUGCCUGGGAACACUGGGUGUUGUCGGCUU
rnacentral:rRNA from 1 species